AUGCAAGCAAAGGGUGAUAAGGGGGUCCCCAGGAUUGGGUGUGUGUCUGUGAGUGUGUGCGUGUGCGUGUGUGUGUGUGUGUGGGGGGCAGCAGGAGUCCAAGCCAAGCCAAAAGGUUUCUCACGUGCAAACUCGCAAUCUAAUCCUUUGGGAGUUGCGCCUAGGCUACGAGGGGCAAGUCUAUUUAAAAAAAAAAAAAUCAGGAGCAUCUCUUGGAGAAGCCCUUUCCAACAAAAUCAAAGCAGGACCCGAGAACCACAGACCGUCCCUAACAUCCCCGCUGCGAGGCCCGCGGGCUGUGGAAUCUCGCACGUCACCUGGACCCAGCAGGGAGGGCCGCUGAGAGAGGAAAAUACAUCAAAAUUUAAUAAGGGGCUUUCCCUGAAGAAGGAAACAAAUACGGAGAAAAUGGGGCAGACAAAUAAAGAUACGGUUUGCUUACAAUGUGUGAACUAAAGAAGACUAUCUGGAUAAAGACUGGACAGCUUCACCUGGAGUUUCUGGGGGUAUGUAGAAAUUGACCUAUUUAAGCUGUAAUCAUAAUCUUCUUCAAACUUUCCACUUUUCCCCAUACUGUUUGAAUUGAACACGGAUGCCAUGGUACACUUAAUUUCAUCACUGAAUAAAAGAACUCCAAGAAUAUGCAUGUUUUAGUGACAGUGCAUUUAGCAACAGGAAGGUGACGAUAUUCUCAAGCUCCCUAUCACUAGGAGACCCCAAAGUUGGAAAUGUCUUUUUGAAUAAGUCACAUUAAUUUAGACAUCUUACUUGCAAAACAAUUAAACAAAAAAUAUCUUUCAUGUACAAAGC
rnacentral:lncRNA from 1 species